rnacentral:rRNA from 1 species
UACAGAGGGGGCAAGCGUUAUUCGGAAUUAUUGGGCGUAAAGGGCGCGUAGGCGGCCUGGCAAGUGGAAGGUGAAAUCCCUCGGCUUAACCGAGGAACUGCCCUCCAAACUGCUUGGCUUGAGUCCGGGAGAGGAUAGUGGAAUUCCCAGUGUAGUGGUGAAAUACGUAGAGAUUGGGAAGAACACCAGUGGCGAAGGCGGCUAUCUGGACGGUUUCUGACGCUAAGACGCGAAAGCGUGGGGAGCAAACAGG